AUUGAACGCUGGCGGCAGGCCUAACACAUGCAAGUCGAGCGACCGGCGGACGGGUGAUUAAUGUCAGUGAACCUGCCUGUUGGAGGGGGCUUACUACUGGAAACGCUAGCAAAUACUGCAUCCCAUUGGGUGUGCCCAGAUGGGGUUAGUUGGUAGGUGGGGUAACGUCUCAACAAGGCGACGAUCCCUAGCUGGUCUGAGAGGAUGAUCAGCCACACUGGAACUGAGACACGGUCCAGACUCCUACGGGAGGCAGCAGUGGGGAAUAUUGCACAAUGGGCGCAAGCCUGAUGCAGCCAUGCCGCGUGUGUGAAGAAGGCCUUCGGAUUGUAAAGCACUUUAAGCGGGGAGGCGUUACCAGCAGAAGAAGCACCGGCUAACUCCGUGCCAGCAGCCGCGGUAAUAC
rnacentral:rRNA from 1 species